rfam:Syntrophobacter fumaroxidans MPOB, complete genome.
ACCCGAAAAAGGCAAACCAUUCGAAAGGGUGGGACGCAAAGCCACUGGCCUACGUCUUCCGAGGGAGGAUAGGGCGGCAGGGUUGCCGGA